GCUUUUGGUUCUUGUUAUAGAAUUUUGUUAUGCGAUGGUGUUGAAAUGUUCAGUGAGAUUCAUUUCAAAGCUGGUGAAGCAUACACUGAUGCAAAAUUUUGAUGCUGGAACCUGACAUUAGUAGUUGCAAAUUUUUGCAGAUCACCUCGGAAUCACAAAGAGAAACAUGUGAAGAGAAUUAUUGGUUUGCCAGGUGACUGGAUUGGAGCUCACAGUUCUUAUGAUGUUGUGAAGGUUCCGGAUGGACAUUGUUGGGUCGAGGGAGACAAUCCUUCUUCUAGCAUGGAGUCAAGAACUUAUGGCCCAAUUCCUUUGGGCCUAGUUCAAGGAAGGAUCACCCAUAUUGUAUGGCCUCCUCAAAGACUAGGAGAAGUGAAGAGAAAUAUUUAUGUAGACAGACUUUCUUCUUUCUAAUCAGGUUAUGGUAGUUGAUACUUUUAGUAGCGAGAAUACAUGUUUUCCUUCAUAAGGCAACAAUUUUUUGGAGAUCCCUUGCUUAAGAACAUAUUGUUUUUGAAAGUUUUAGACUGUUCUUUGAUUUUGUUUAUUAAGCAAGAAUAAGAAAGAGGUAAUCUUUGGGGACAGUAUUUGUACAUUAUUUAUAUUGUUAAUGGUCAAGUUAAUCAACUCAAUAAUGGAUUUUGAGUUCAAUAUAAUUGAUUUUAAUUCCUGGGUGAAA